CCUCGAAUAUAUUGUUUUCCGGACGAUUCGCUCGGCUGCCAACUCGACUCACGUUGUAUCCGCGCGCAGCGUCGGUAUGAAGUUGCCGAUGUUCGAAUCUCUCGUCGAAGGAGCGCCAUGACCCAUCGGUCGUUUCGUUUCGGUAGUGUUCAAAUCGCGAGUGUCGUAUUACAACAACGAAUUCGAUCGCGUCUUCGCGAGCGCGUUGCCUUGUGCAUGAGACGAUAGGGGCACGAGACAACGACGAGGCCCGAGACUCACCUGAUUCAUAGGCAGGACAGCUUCAAUCGAGGUUAUCUCGAGAACAUUGGAGUGUUCAUUGCAAUGACGAUUGUCGUAUUGUAACAAUUCGAGUUCGAUCGCGUUUUCGUGAGUGUUGCCUUGCGAGUGUGCGACGAGGGGGUGUAAAUCGACGACGAAGCCUGGGAGACGUCGGGGCGGCUUCUUCGGGGCAUCGAUGAAUUUGAAUGUGCAGUGAUGAGUGGACUCGAAACGACAACGGUCCGCGUUUUUGUGAAUACAGUAUUACAUCGAUGGAAUUGAUAAUCCAAACAAUCUGAGGGCAGGAAGAAAGGUGAGACAUCGGGCGCCGGCGGAGCAACUUUGCGAAUCAACGUAGCUACGUGGCAGAUAUAACUCCGCUGUUGCGCAUCGAGUUUGUG
rnacentral:lncRNA from 13 species